rnacentral:rRNA from 1 species
UACGUAGGUGGCAAGCGUUGUCCGGAUUUACUGGGCGUAAAGGGCGUGCAGGCGGCUUGUUAAGUGCAGGGUGAAAGCUCCCGGCUCAACUGGGAGAGGUUCUUGCAUACUGGCGAGCUCGAGGGAGGCAGAGGAAAGUGGAAUUCCCGGUGUAGUGGUGAUAUGCGUAGAUAUCGGGAGGAACACCUGUGGCGAAGGCGGCUUUCCGGGCCUUACCUGACGCUGAGACGCGAAAGCGUGGGGAGCGAACCGG